GAGACUCUGUCUCAAAAAACAAACAGCGACAACAAAAAUUCAAAUACCUAUUGUGGCUCAUUUAUAUCUGAUAUAGUGAGUUUCACAAUACCUUACUUUUCAUUUAAUCUUCCUCUGUCAGCUAUAGAUCUUGGGAAGGAGGUUUGCAUAUGUGUAUGAAAAACUCACACCCAAAGUAUUUUUUCUCUAUUCUCACUGAACAACAACACAGACUUCUGUGACCAAAUGUGGGGGAGGUCUCUUCACACACCAAGCAACCAACCAAUUCUGCAGCAGGCGCCAGCUGGGUGUCCUCCAAGUCAAUUCAAUUCUGAUGCUAUCUGCCUGGAGAUAGCCUUGGAACCCACAGAUUAAGGGCUCAGUCCCACAAGGCCACCCCCUCUUUCCCACCAAUCCAAAGUCCAGGCCUCUGGAACUUAGGACUUCAAGUUGGGGUUCCCCUUUUUGGGGUUUAAUUUGUUAGAGUGGCUCACAACUCAGGGAAACACUUACUUAAGUUUACCAGUUUAUUACAAAGUGUAUCUUAAAGGAUAAAAUAAACAGCCAGAUGGAGACAAACAUGAUGAGGUCUGGACCGGUCCCAAGCACAGGAGCUUCUGUCCCCGUGGAGCUGAGAGGCAUCACCCUCCUGGCACACAGAUCAGUUCUUGGUCGGCAUCCAUGUGUUCAGCAGUCCUCUUGGGCCUUCUAUGGAGACUUCACUGGAUAAGCAUGGCUGACCAUUGUGCAGAAAUAGCAUUGGACAAAAAGGGUAAGGUCUAAUAUGAAUAGGCAGAGUAGGAAAAGCCCGCAAGUCCUGUCUGUUCACAUUCUUCCUGGACUCUCUGUGCAGCAGUUCAUCCUCCAGGGUAUGGGGUAGAACCCUCUUUAGAAGGAGGGUCUUAGGACCUACAAUCAAAUAAGGUAGGUCAGGGAAUUUCUUUAUGGCCAGCUCCAAGACAAAAAGGUGGGAGAAGAUUUCUGCCUUGGGAAGAAAAAUAAAGCAGGUGAAAGGAGGACAGGAGAAGGUCAGAGAGAGAAAGAUUCUGUUUUCUGGGGUCUACUGAGUCCUAAAGUGCCCCAACAUUAUAACAAAAACUAUGGGAGUAGCAAGCCAGGAACUGUUGAUUAAAAACAUAUAUAUAUAUAUAUAUAUAUAAAAUAACACAGUGUAAUAUAAUUGUUUAGUAUCCUAAGUGCAUGAAAUAACAUGACUAAUAUAUAUUGAAGUUGAGGAAUGCAAUACACAGCAUAGAUCAUUGGUCUUCUGAGACAGUACUCAUGUCCAUUUGAUAGUAUGCCAAAAGGCUGUCUCAGUGUCAUUGAUGGAUGGAACAUUCUAUGUGUUAAGUAGGUUUCUUACAUCUUUUUUUUUUUUUUUUGGAGACAGGGUCUCAUUCUGUCGCCCCAAGCUGGAGUGCAGUGGCAUGAACAUGACUCACUGCAGUCUCAAUCCCUGGGGUUCUCUCUGGCAAUCCUCCUGCCUCAGCCUCCCAAGUAGCUGGGACCACAGGCACACAGCACUAUACCCAGGUCACUUUUUUACAUGUUUCGCAGAGAUGAGGUCCUGCCAUAUUGCCCAGGCUGAUCUUGAACUCCUGGGGCUCAAGUGAUCCUCCCACCUCAGUCUCCCAAAGUGCUGGGAUUAUGGGUAUGAGCCACCACACCCGGCCUCAUCUACUUUUAAAAUACAAUUUAUAUUGUUUUGUUUUUCUUUCUUUUUGAGAUGGAGUCCCACUGUGUUGCCAGGCUGGAGUGCAGUGAUGCGCUCUCGGCUCACUGCAACCUCUGCCUCCCGGGUUCAAGCGAUUCUCCUGCCUCAGCCUCCCGAGUAGCUGGGACUACAGGCGCGCCACCACUAUGCCCAGCUGAUUUUUGUAUUUUUAGUAGAGACAGGGUUUCACCAUGUUGGCUCAAUCUCUUGACCUCAUGAUCCGCCUGCCUUGGCCUUCCAAAGUGCUGGAAUUACAGGCGUGAGCCACUGCGCCUGGCCUAAAACACAAUUUAAAGGGCAAAAAAAAUCAUGACUAGUAUUUUUUUUUUUUUUUUUUUUUUACAAAAUAACCUGUGGUAUCUCAUAAAACCCAUUUGGGAAAAUGUUUAAGUAACUUGAAUUAAGAUUCACUUAGGUGGGGCAUGGUGGCUUAUGCCUGUAAUUCCAGCACUUUGGGAGGCCAAGGCGGGCAGAUCACCUGAAAUCAGGAGUUCCAGACCAGCCUGGCCAACGUGGCAAAAACACAUCUCUACUAAAAAUACAAGAAAAUUAGCCAGGCAUGUUGGGGUGCACCUGUAGUCCCAGCUACUUGAGAGGCUGAGGCGGGAGAAUCACUUGAGCCUGGGAGGCAGAGGUUGCAGUGAGCCGAGAUCACGCCACUGCACUCCAGCCUGAGCAACAGAGACAGACUUCGUUUAAAAGGAAAAAAAGACUCACUUGGAAUCCUGGUCAUGAGUCUCUCCAGCCUGAGGGACAAUCAGUGAAAGACAUUGCAGAAAGGAGAGCUCAGAUGCUGUCUACAUCUAAGGUGUGCUUACAUCUUUUACUUAACAUAGUCAUUAGUUCUAUUGUAAAGGUUCUGUGUUUCCAAAAGUUCCUUUAUUUCAUUCACCACCUGUACCUGGCAGUCCACACUAGUAGAGUUUUCUUUGGAAAGUUCGAAGAGAACAAGGUAAAAUGUCGCUUGCUUUCUGAUGUUUUGAAGUAAAGAAAAAAAUAUAAGGAAGUUAUUUAGGUCCAUUAUUUAGGUUCAUUUAAACUAGGUAUGCUAUUUAUAAGGAAAUGUAAUCCUACCUAAACCCUGAUGGAGUUGUCACAAAUGACAUCAUCCAGAAUUAGAAACAAUUUUCCUUCAUUUUAGGUAACAAAAAUAUUUUGGGACAAUAGAGGCUACAAGGAGUUGAGCAGCAAAUGCAGCUGGAAGUCUUCAUGAUCCAAAGGCUUCUCCAUGGAGGAACUCUCAGCCAAGAAGCUCAAAGAUGGACAUAGAGACACAACAGUCCCCUACACAUCCUUGAGAUGCACAGAUUAGCACUCCACGUUGUGAAAGCUGCUGCCAGUCACCUGCAGCAGCAGCAGUCCAGGUCAGAGCCUCCUGCCCCAGAGGAAAUCUUGUCAUUUCGCUCGACAAAGGUUCCAUACCCUCAGCACCCUGACUUAUCGCCAUCUUCUCUAAUAAGAUAAGUGUCUGACAAUUUCACACUCAGGUUGGCCUCUCUCCCAAAGGAUAUUGGACUCAGGACUCUAGUAAUUCCAAAGGGAUGAGUCUGUAUUAGGAAGAAUUGUAAACAAGCAUAAUGAGCCUAGUGGAGUAGAAGUGACAUAUCUGGUAGGCCAGGCGCGGUGGCUCACAUCUGUAAUCCCAGAACUUUGGGAGGCCAAGACAGGUGGAUCACUUGAGAUCAGGAGUUCGAGACCAGCCUGGCCAACAUGGUGAAACCCUGUCUGUCUCUACUAAAAAUGCAAAAAUUAGCCAGGCAUGGUGGUGCAAAGCAUGUGGUUCCAGCUACUCGAGAGGCUGAGGCAGGAGAAUCUCUUGAACCCAGGAGGCAGAGGUUGCAGUGAUCCAAGGUUGUGCCACUGCACUCCAGCCUGGGCGACAGAGUGAGACUCAGAAAAAUGACAUAUUUGGAGGUAGGAAAUCUGAACCUUAGACUUGACCACAAAACCUUCUCUCUGGGCCUCAACUCCAUCAUCAGCAAAGCCAGGGGGCUGAGGGGAUGUGCGAAGAUCUCUUCCAGUUCUAGCACUAGAAGACCCUAAGAAGGCUAUGAUGCCUUCCCGGUACUGGUAAGCCAGGGGGCCAGCCCUGCCUGUGGGACAAAUAAGGCAGAGACAGAGGCUAUGACGAGGUUACAAGCACAGAGUGAGUCAGUCUGGAGGUUAGGAAAAGCAGCCAGCCGGAAAUCAGCCCACACUGGGUAAGGAUGUGUGGGUGGUGGAGAACGCUCCCUCACACCAGAUCUUUCACCACAGCUGCCUGCAUUUCACCUUCUCUGUCAUCCUCAGAGACGAGAUGCAAUGAGAAGCAAAACAUUCAGAAGGCAAAGGUGGUGAUUAGGCCUUGUAAUCAAAAGGGACCCUACUGCUCUCGACAAGCCAUUAGCUUUCCCAGCAAUUCAGUGCCCCCCAUUUAAGUCUCUUGACUGUCUGUUAAAGAUGCUGUGACUUCUGUCCGCUGUCGAAUGACUGAUAUAGUCAAGAGACCAUGGGACAGAUUCUCGGGUAAUUCUGAUUUUAUUUCCUGAAAAGAAAAAAGUAGAAUCUUUUAAAAAAUAUAUCAACCUCAUCCAUCACACACUACAAAUUUUCCCUGUGAUUGAAGACCUGUGUUCAACAUAGCAAACCUCUUUGCCCUCACACCUGGUUUUAAAAUUAAGCUUGAAAGUAAAAGGUUUUAUUAUGUACUUGUUUUUAAUAGUCAAAAGUUCAUGACAGUGGAUGAGUGUGUUUCAUAAUUUUUGUUUGUAAUGGAAGCCACAGUUAGACAUUUAAAGCAAGUAUAGCAGGCUAACAACCUCUCCUUCCUGUGGUUAAAAUGAUAGGAAGUGAUUUAUAAACUGCCAUUAGAGUUAGCUCAGCUAAGCAAUAUUGGCUUUUGUUAGCAUGAUCUAAAACUCUUGGCAAACUAAAAUGAAAAGCGUAAUCUUCAUCUGUUGUCAAACGAUGAGAUUCAUUACCCAAAAAAGUCGUAAGACUUAAAUAAGGAUAUAGAUGUAUAAGAUCUUUUUAAAAUUUAGACUUACAUGCAUAACCAGGAGUUAUCUUAAUUCAGUAUUGGUGGUCUAUAACUCAGAUCUUUAGAAAAUAAGCUAAUCACUAGAGAGAUUAAAGAGAGAUUAACAAUAGGAAGCUGUUCUUUUACUAACCUCUAAAAACCAGAUAUGGGCUACACCUGAAUGCAAAACACUAUCUGUAAUAAUUGCAAUGAAAAUUUUAGCAAAAUCAUAAAAACCUUAUUGCCUUCUGAAGAUCAAGCCCAUUUUCCAAUAAUUGGUUAAUUCAAAUGAAAGUCUCCACCUUCUUAAUUUGGGCCCAUUGUUAAUCUCUCCACAGAAAACCGCACAAGUCCUAUCAAAGACUUUUGUGAAAAACCACUAAUUAAAGAGAAGUUUGUAUCUGACAUAAUAGAGAUUCUCAAAUAUUUGUUGAUUAAUUGUCCUGCAUUGUUACUCUCUAGUGCUUGUAUUAACCAAAGAGUAUUGUCUUGGCCCUGGAAUAGAAAAACAUAUUUGAGGCUGGAUGCAGUGGCUCUCAACUGUGAUCCCUGCAGAGCUUUGGGAGGCCAAAGUGGGAGGAUUGCUGGAGACCAGGAGUUCAAGAUUAGCCUGGGCAACAAAGCGAGAUCCUGUCUCUACAAAUGUUUUUUUAAAAAUUAGCCAGGUGUGUGUCUCAUACCUGUAGCCCUAGCUACUCAGGAGGCUGGAGUGGGAGGAUCAACUUGAGCCCAGGAGGUCAAGGCUGCAGUGAGCUCUGAUUGCGCCACUGCACCCCAGCUUGGGAUAGAGAGCAAGAACUUGUCUCAAAAAGAAGAAAGAAAGAAAGAAAGAAAGAAAGAAAGAAAGAAAGAAAGAAAGAAAGAAAGAAAGAAAGAAAGAAAGAAAGAAAGAAAGAGGAAGAAAGAAAGAAAGAAAAAGGAAGAAAGAAAGGAAGGAAGAAAAGCAUAUUUGAAUGUCUCUAGAAAUAAGCGGAUAAAAAUCUAGGUGUAUCGAGAAGACUAAUAAACUAAAAACUUUCAAAAAGUAAAAAAAAGAAAGCCUGGCUGUCAUCCACAGUAUAUUUACAUUUUGUUCAAUCCUAGCAUACACAUAAAGUAAUUUCACAUUUGCAAACUCAUACCCUUGUGAAAACACAUUUGUAAACUAUAGUAAAGUAUUUGUGCAUAGUUCUUUUUGUCUUUAGACUUAAAGAUACAGUCAAAAACUCUUGCUUUUUUAAAAUUAAUUUGUUUAGCUCUUUCGUGCCCCAAUUCUGUGUGGUUCUAAUUAUAAUUUGUAAAAGAGUUGAGUUCAUUUGUUACUGUUUGUAUUCCAUUCCCCCACAUCUGGUAAAUUUAAAUUAUUUGUUUGUUUGAAAAAAAAAUAUCUAGGUGUAUUAACAUCAUCAAAUUAAUAAAACAAUGUUAUUUAAAAUAUAGAACAUAUCAUAAGCUUUCAAAUCAUAGUGGCCAAACAGCCACCAUCUUCAAGAAUCAAUAAUAAAAGAAGUGCUAGUAACUCUUACAGAUGGAUGAAUGACAACAUCAUAGAGUAUUACAGAGCCAUUCAAAAAAAAAUGAAUAGGACUUAUGCCAGUUGACUUGGAGAAUUUCUAGGAGGUGAUAGUGAGUACAAAAGAUAAGAUGCAGAGAUAAGUUCAUAGUAUGAUCCCAUCUUUGUAAUGUAACAAAAUACCCACUUAUAAAUGUGUUUACAUAUGUGUGAAUCUCAAUGUUUUUAUACAAGUAUAUGAUGUAUGCAAGUCUGUAUGCAUAGUCAUAUAUGGUCAUAAGGCAGAUGGUUAGAUAGAAAAAAAGUACUAAAGAGUACACCAGGUGGCUAAUACUUUUCCUGGGGAACUGGAGGGUGGGGACAAUACAGGACAAAGGCAAAGGAAAAAGGAGACUGAACCAAAAAAUAUGAUUGUACUUGUGUAAAAGUAUAUGUAUGCUUUUUAGAAAAAGAAAAGUCCAGAAACAUUGGCUCAUACCUGUAAUCCCAGCACUUUGGGAGGCCAAGACAGGCAGAUCACUUGAAGUCAGGAGCUCGAGACCAGCCUGGCCAACAUAGCAAAACCCCGUCUCUACUAAAAACACAAAAAUUAGCCGGGCAUAGUGGCACAUGCCUGUAACCCCAGCUACUCAAGAGGCUGAGAUAUGAGAAUUGCUUGAGCCCGGGAGGCGGAGGUUGCAGUGAGCUGAGAUUGCGCCACUGCACUCCAGCCUGAAUGACAGAGUUAGACUCUGUUUCCAAAAAAAUGAAAAUGAAAAAAGAGAGAUGUCUACAAACUUAUAGGGAUGGCUUUGGAAUAUUAAAAAGUUACAGAGUAAUGUGUCUAGUCUGAUUCUCUUUUUUUUUUAAGAUAGCUUUACUUUUUCUUUUUACAAAAUUAACACUUUGUCAUUACAAUAUAUAUCAGAAAAAUAGAAAAGCAGAAGGAAGAAAGUCAAGAUUAUCUAUAAUCCUAAGAACCACUGCAACCACCACCGAGUUCUCGAAGCCUGUCCUUCUGGGUUCUACUGUUGAGGAAAACGCGAUCACACAGGCAUUCCCCUCCGGCUCUAAAACUCCAUGAUCCAAGGCACAGCACUGUAAGUGACUGCCCGACAGGACAGCUUCCUGCAUUUCUUUGGGUGAAAAGUUCAGUCCGAGGAUCUCACAGUGUGGCGCCUGCCAGCCAUCACAGUGAAGGAUUGUCUUGCAAGCUAAUCUCAGUGCGUUAUGCUAUUACAGUGGGUAAUGACACAUAGCAAUGCCUAAAUCAUAAGACUCGGCUUCUGUAGAAGAAAAGAACAGAAAGAGAAGCACUCGCUUCCACAGCCUGCUGGGAUUCACCUAUUCAGGAUCACUCAAAACCAUGAAAGCUCAGAAAAGCCAAAAAGUUCUGAGUUCUAGAAUUCCCUUUUGACAAUCCUCGAAAUGGCAGUUGGUCUCAUGAAAGGGAAUGAACUUUGGAACCAAACAGGCCCGGCCUCUAAUCCAGGCUUUGCCCCUUACUGGGUGUGUGACCUUGAACCUGUGACUUCUCUGAGCCCGUUCCUUCAUCUACAAAAGACAGAUGAUAAAACCCACUUUGUUGGGUUGUCCUGAAGAUGAAAGGAAAUAUGGUAAGCAAACUAUAAUAGUGUCUGGAAUGUAGGAGACAUUUGAUAAUAUUUCUGAUUUUAUUUUAAAAGUACAGAACUUUUUAUGGGGUCAUUUUGCUGGGUCCCGGUUUUAUUAUAAUUUAACAGUGUUCAUAAGGGAUUUUUACAGUAGACAUGCAGGAUUCGCACACCCAAAAUAUAGAAAAUUCUGCUCUCUAUAUCCCAUGAACCAGACUUUCCACAGAUCUUUAGUACAAUUAGUCAUCACCAUGACUCCUGAGACACUGCGGGCUACUAUCAUAUCUUCUGAAUCAUCGAAAAACAGAUUGACUUAUGUUUUAAGUGGCACUUUUUCAAAUGCAUUUUAUAAUGUUAUUUUAUGGAUACACAUUUGCCAAGGAAGAGAUACUCUUUACUGUUCUUUGAAGACAGAGUGAAAUAUCUCCCAUUUCCCCAGUUAUUAAUUUCUAACUACAAGCUUCCUGUACAGUGAAUGAAUGUGACAAGGGUUAUUGAAGUUGCCUCACUCAUUCAUCUGCUGAAGGUUAGGAAAUACACAAACCUUCAGAGAAAGGUGUUUAGUAGUCAGGGUCCUAGCGUUACCAGUGGAGGGUGUCCAGGUUCUCAGCAACUUGAACAAAGAAUUGGACAAAACGCACAAACAAAGCAAGGAAAGCAUGAAGCAACAAAAGCAGAGAUUUAUUGAAAAUAAUAGUACACUCUUCAGUGUGGGGGCGGCCCGAGCAUAGGGAUUCAAGGGACCCUUUACAGAAUUUUCUGGUGUUUAAAUACCCUCUAAAAGUUUCCCAUUCGUUACUUGGUGUACACCCUGUAUAGAUGAAGUAAUGGCCCCAAUCAUCUGACUGGUUGCAGAAAGCAACUAAUCAGAGGCUGAAGUGAGGUUACAAAGAUUACACCCUAUGCAAGCAUCUGAUUGGUUGUGGAAAGCAACCAAUCAGAGGCUAAAGUGAAGUUACAAAGUUACACUUCUAGGCAAAGAAGACUUGGCCGGCAGUCAGUCUGAUUGGUUGCAGAAACCAGCCAAUCAGAGAUACUUUCAAUUUUCCGUCUGCCACCCAAAAAAUGGGCGGGCAGCAGUUGGCGGUGAGUAGCAAGGUGUUUUUUUGUUACUUAGGUGUGGAAAGUUGGGGUCUUCCUUUUGAUUUAGUUCUAGGAAGUCAGCGUGAAUCGGCCUUAGGUUUCCUGCCUGCAGACCCUAUUCUCCUGCCUCACCAGCAGGAAAUAGGUGACACAGACAGACCAGGAGUUUUAACAAAG
rnacentral:lncRNA from 1 species